AGAAGAUCAUAUUUGUCUGGACAUGUAAAAAGACAACAGAAGAGCCUCGAAGAAGAGAGGAGUCAAAAAGAUAAAGAUGGACAAAAAGAGGAUCCGUAUGAGGAUUUGUAAGUAAAGCGCAUAUGGAUCAGGCUGACAGACAGAGGGAGAGGAAAAGAGCAGGUCCAUCAGCCUCCACCUCUACCUCCAUCAUUGGUGUCAUCCAAGAAGCUGACAGUGCUGGUCUACCUGUGCCUACUGAAGUGGAGGGCAGUACCAUCGUGCUUACUACCACACCUGCCUCUCCAGUGGCCUCCUCUCCUCCAGUGGAUCCAGCUGACUGGCCAUCAGUCCCAUUACAAUGACCCAUUUUUUUUAAAUAUUUGAAUCUAUCUAAAAUGUAUAUCUACAUCCAUGUU